rnacentral:rRNA from 1 species
AAAUUGAAGAGUUUGAUCAUGGCUCAGAUUGAACGCUGGCGGCAGGCCUAACACAUGCAAGUCGAACGGUAACAGGAAGCAGCUUGCUGCUUUGCUGACGAGUGGCGGACGGGUGAGUAAUGUCUGGGAAACUGCCUGAUGGAGGGGGAUAACUACUGGAAACGGUGGCUAAUACCGCAUAACGUCGCAAGACCAAAGAGGGGGACCUUCGGGCCUCUUGCCAUCAGAUGUGCCCAGAUGGGAUUAGCUUGUUGGUGAGGUAACGGCUCACCAAGGCGACGAUCCCUAGCUGGUCUGAGAGGAUGACCAGCCACACUGGAACUGAGACACGGUCCAGACUCCUACGGGAGGCAGCAGUGGGGAAUAUUGCACAAUGGGCGCAAGCCUGAUGCAGCCAUGCCGCGUGUAUGAAGAAGGCCUUCGGGUUGUAAAGUACUUUCAGCGGGGAGGAAGGUGUUGCGGUUAAUAACCGCAGCAAUUGACGUUACCCGCAGAAGAAGCACCGGCUAA